GCCGGAAUAGCUCAGUUGGGAGAGCGUUAGACAAAAGAUCUAAAGGCCCCCGGUUCAUACCCGGGUUCCGGCA